CUGGGUCCCUGAGACCCUUUAACCUGUGAAGACGUCCAGGGUCACAGGUGAGGUUCUUGGGAGCCUGG
ensembl:miRNA